AGCUAAAAUAGCAAAGUGGUUAAUGCAGAAGGCCUAAGACCUUCUUAUCAAAGGUUCAACUCCUUUUUUUAGCUA
rnacentral:tRNA from 1 species